AGCAGCCGCGGUAAUUCCAGCUCCAAUAGCGUAUAUUAAAGUUGUUGCAGUUAAAAAGCUCGUAGUUGAAUUUCGGGAUCAAUAUGUUGGUCGUGCCUUGGUACGUACUGGCGUCAUUGGUUUCUACCUUCUGAAGAACCUCGAUGUCAUUAAUUUGGUGUCUUGGGGAAUCAGGACUGUUACUUUGAAAAAAUUAGAGUGUUUAAAGCAAGCUCACGCUUGAAUACAUUAGCAUGGAAUAAUGAAAUAGGACGUUUGAUUCUAUUUUGUUGGCUUCUAGGAUCGACGUAAUGAUUAAUAGGGAUAGUUGGGGGCAUUAGUAUUCAAUUGUCAGAGGUGAAAUUCUUGGAUUUAUUGAAGACUAACUACUGCGAAAGCAUUUGCCAAGGAUGUUUUCAUUAAUCAAGAACGAAAGUCAGGGGAUCGAAGACGAUCAGAUACCGUCGUAGUCUUAACCAUAAACUAUGCCGACUAG
rnacentral:rRNA from 1 species